rnacentral:rRNA from 1 species
UACAGAGGGUGCAAGCGUUGUUCGGAAUCAUUGGGCGUAAAGGGCGCGUAGGCGGUCUCACAAGUCGAAUGUGAAAGCCCAGGGCUCAACCUUGGAAGUGCAUUCGAAACUAGGAGACUCGAGUCUCGGAGAGGGUGGUGGAAUUCCCAGUGUAGAGGUGAAAUUCGUAGAUAUUGGGAGGAACACCAGUGGCGAAGGCGACCACCUGGACGAAGACUGACGCUGAGGCGCGAAAGCGUGGGGGAGCAAACAGGG